rnacentral:rRNA from 1 species
AAAAUCUUUUACAUAGUUACAUUUUUUCAAGAAACAUUGUUAGAAAAACUUUGAAGGAAAAAAUUAAAUUUUAAAGAAAAAAUAAGAAUUUGUUCCUUGUGUAUCAUGAUUUUUCAAUUUGAAAACCUAUAAAUAAGUCUCGAAAAAUCAAGAAAAAGUAAACCUAUUCUCUUAUGUUUCAAAAUAAGAAUAAAAGGCUUACUAGUAGUUAAAUUCUUUCAAUUGAUUUUAUAUCUAGUUCUUUUAGAAAAGAAUAGAAUUCUGAUUUUGAUUUUUAAGAAUUAAAAAAAAAUUAUAAGAAGGAUUAUCUUCUUAUAAAAGAAAAAUUAAAAAGAGUCUUUUUUAAAAGGAAUUAAAUUAACCUAUAAUUUAAUAACCAAAAAAGUUCUAAAAAAAUUUCUCAAGGAUUUUUAUUUUAUAAAAGAAUAACAUAAACCUAAUUUUUUAAUUAAUAUGGAAAAACAAGUAAGAAAAAAAAAAUAUUUUAGAACUUGGCAAAUAGACUUUUUGAAUGUUUAUCAAAAACAUUGCCUAUAGAAAGUUUAUUUUAGGUAAAACCUGCUCAAUGAAUAAUUAAAUAGCCAAAGAUGCUAAGGUAGCAUAAUAAUUUGCCUCUUAAUUAGAGGCUAGUAUGAAUGGUUUAACAGAAAAGAAACUUUUUUAAAAUUUUAAAAAGAAACUUUUGUUUAAGUAAAAAUUCUUAAAUAUAAUUGAAAGACGAUAAGACCCUAUAGAACUUUUUUUCAUAUAUAAUAAAAAAAAUUAUUUUGCUGGGGAAGCAAAGAAAAAAAAAUUUUCUUUUUAAAAAACUUUUUUAAAGAUUAAUUGAUCCUUUAGGAUAGAAGAAAAAGUUACCUUAGGGAUAACAGAGUAAUUUUUUUUGAAAGCCCAAAUCGAAAAAAAAGAUUGCUACCUCGAUGUUGAAUUAAGGUAAAAUUUUAUAGAAAAAGAUAAAACAAAUAGUCUGUUCGACUAUAAAAACCUUACAUGAUUUGAGUUAAGACCGGCGUAAGCCAGGUUGGUUUCUAUCUUCAACAAAGAAAAUUUUUAUAGUACGAAAGGACCUAAAAAAAGGAAAUAUU